AGAAAACCCAUAUUGUUUGAGCUGAAUGGAGCUCUAAUGCAGACGUUUGUGGUGGAAAAGUUGCAAUGGUAUUUUCUGUAUUGAGAGUUCAGAUAAGUCAGCUUCAAUUAAAACGAGGAUUUUGAGCAUUUUGUAGGGAAGAGGUCAAAGGGUUGUUACAGAUGGGAAAGCCAUUGUUUUAUGAGAUCUUGGAAAAACCAGCUACUAGUUGUAUAAUAGGGAUAUGCAGUGCCAUAUGGUUCUAUAUACAGAAGAAAAACAUUGGGUACUCCCAUGUGGGUUUAAGUUAUGAAACUGCCAUUGAAGGGCACCAUUGGAGGAUAGUCACUUCAGCUUUUUCACAUAUUAGUGUUCUUCAUCUUGCUUUCAAUAUGAGCGCACUUUGGAGUCUUGGUGUAGUAGAACAGUUGGGGCACAUGGGCCUUGGUGUGGCAUAUUAUCUUCAAUACACACUUGUGCUAGUCGUCUUGUCUGGGUUAUUAGUAUUGGGAAUGUACCAUAUAUUGAUACAAAGAUUCAAGGUAGAUUACUUUCGUAGAGUGACAGCUGUUGGUUAUUCCUGUGUUGUUUUUGGGUGGAUGACAAUUCUUUCCGUGAAGCAACCCUCCUCAAAGUUGGAUCUUUUUGGAUUUCUUUCGCUACCCAUCAGCUUUGCACCUUUUGAGUCGUUAAUUUUUACGUCAAUUAUUGUUCCACAAGCAAGUUUUCUUGGUCAUUUGUCGGGAAUUAUUGUUGGGUAUAGUAUUGCAUGGGGUUUGAUUCAUGGGAUGAACA
rnacentral:misc_RNA from 1 species